ensembl:lncRNA
GAAUCAGUUGUGUAUUGGCAAGUUGAAAAUACCCUCAGACAUGUAACAAAUUUUUUAAUAAGCUUAAAUUAAUCAACAGAUACACUGUGCAUAUGUAAACAAGUCAGUUAAAGUUAAGCAACAUUUUAACAGUAUUAUUAGCACUAUAAUUUCUACAGUACUAACAAUAACAUAGAAAUGUUUCAUAUAUUUCAAACCCAUAGUGGCCUGUGGCAAAAUUAUUCUGAUUUUUAAACCAAAAUCUAUUAAUAUUGAUGUACUUUCAUGGAAACAAUUAAACUCAAUCUUCUAAAACAUUAAUUAAGGCCUACUGUCAUUCAGGCUUUUUUUUCAAACCAGAUUAAUCAAGUCUACCAAAUGCUUGAAGUCUAAACAACGCAGCCAUUGCAGGGAGCAGAAGAGUUACCUGAAUGUGCAGCAAAAAAGUUGACUUGGAAGACGAGCCAAUGGGCAAGGAGGCCGGGCUGGCUGAACAGAGGCCUUUGGCUGGAUCUCAAGAACAAAAGGAAUGUUUAUGGUCUCUGGAAGAGUGGGCAAGCUACUUAUGAGGAUUACAGAAGUAUCGGUAAGCAGUGUGUACCAACACAACAGCUCCAAGAAGAAUGACUUCAUGAAACUUCAUAGUAGAAGAAUAGAGUAAUCAGGAAUUGGAGAAAAAACUUGGGAUUAUUAAUAUAUGAAAAAAAUCAUUAUCCCCUGUGGUGAAGGUUGAGACUCAUGGAAAAAAAUAAAGAAAAACAUGAUUCAGAAUGUAAGCCUUCCCAAAGGCAGAGAAAUCUGAAUGCCAUCACUUUGUUACUGGGAAACUGGUAGCACUGGCAAUGGUGCUAAAUGUAAACAAAAUACAGCCUAUUACUUUUCUAUAUAACUAAAUAUUCUUGAAGCAUAUUGAAUACAACAACAAGAAAAAUUUAGUACUGUCAACUCAAAGAUAAGGCAUAACAAUAAGAGGAAGCAAUACAUACUACAGAGCUGAUAGUAGUUUUCUUUUGUCUACAGUCAUUCUUUUUAAAACUCCUCAGUCAUUGAUCCAAAAUCUAUUCUCAUUUAUACCUUGAUAGUUUCUCACUGCCAUCCAAGUAUAGGACACAGUAACCAUUGGAAAUUUCCUUUAUACUUGGUUUCUAGGCAGUAUAUUUAGGAUAAAUACUCCAGGUAUUCCUUUGCAUCUUUCCUUCACCUUUUCCAAAAUAUUUAUCACAGUAAGCUGAUCUUAUCACAUAUAGUAUAAACAACAAUACUGGACUGCUAGACAGCUAAGCAAAUGUGCACUUCACAAUACUGCAAUAUAUACUUAAAGAUUAUCUUCUGAAAUCAGAGUACAUAGUUACCAACUCUUCUGAGAUCAAAGUUGAUAUUACAGUGCUGAGUCUGUGCAAUAACAAAGAUAAAAAUGAAGAACCAUUCAGGAGCAUGCCUAACAGGCAAGCUUAUAAAGAUAAAAAUGUUUAAAUGGAUUGGAGAAAAAGAAACGUUCUGGCCUAAAAUCUCUGAAACAAAAGGAAUGCGAGUGGAAUUACUUCCUUAUCCUUACAUGUAAUUCUUUGCCACCUCAAUUAUGUCUUCAUUGUAUCUUGAACGUUUGCUGGAAAUAACAUAUAUGCACCUAACUGUGACCCAUGAAAAUACAAGAUAUUAAAAUGUUCACACAACUUCCAGCAUUUCAACACAUCAAAAUAUUAGAAUAGUUCUCAUGUAGAUGCAGAUUCUAUGCUACUGUAAUGCCACUUUAUGGCUAUAUUACGACCAUAUUAUGGCUUUACGAGUUUAUCAUUUUUUGCCUAGCAAAACUUAAGAAAAAUAAUUCACUGACAACACUGAGGAGAAAGAACAGAAAAGUUUCCUAGGUGCAGUGAAAACUGUUUCCCCCUGAAAAACAUUCAUUGUAUUUUCUGACCAUCCCUACCAACGUAACCUCCUGUUAUUUCCUUUUGGUAUUCAGAUUAGAUAUUCAAAAGAGUGUUGUAUUGAUAUUGUCAGAUGCUUAAACAGAAUGAUUUCAGAUCACUUUGGCAACAGUAUUUACUAAAAAUGAAUUGCACCAUUUCAGGGAAUCAAAUAAAACAGAAUUUAGU